rnacentral:sRNA from 1 species
UACAAACCCGCAGCCCGACUUGAGCGGAAAUCCUUUUUGUUUUUUUGCUAAAAAAUAAAAAGAUUGGGAGCGGAAGGCGGAAAAAGCU